rnacentral:rRNA from 1 species
UGCCAGCAGCCGCGGUAAUACGGAGGGUGCAAGCGUUGUUCGGAAUUACUGGGCGUAAAGAGCACGUAGGCGGGUCUUUAAGCCGAUUGUGAAAGCCCAAGGCUUAACCUUGGAAUUGCAGUCGGAACUGGAGAUCUUGAAUGCCUGAGAGGAUGGCGGAAUUCCUGGUGUAGGAGUGAAAUCCGUAGAUAUCAGGAGGAACACCGGAGGCGAAGGCGGCUAUCUGGCAGUGCAUUGACGCUGAGGUGCGAAAGCGUGGGGAGCAAACAGGAUUAGAUA